rnacentral:SRP_RNA from 1 species
GCCGGGCGUGGUGGCUCAUGCCUGUAAUCCCAGCACUUUGGGAGGCCGAGACGGGUGGAUCACCUGAGGUUGGGAGUUCAAGACCAGCCUGACCAACAUGGUGAAACCCUGUCUCUA